GAUGAACGCUGGCGGCGUGCCUAAUACAUGCAAGUUGAGCGAACAGACGAGGAGCUUGCUCCUUCGACGUUAGCGGCGGACGGGUGAGUAACACGUAGGUAACCUACCUAUAAGACUGGGAUAACUUCGGGAAACCGGAGCUAAUACCGGAUAAUAUUUCGAACCGCAUGGUUCGAUAGUGAAAGAUGGCUUUGCUAUCACUUAUAGAUGGACCUGCGCCGUAUUAGCUAGUUGGUAAGGUAACGGCUUACCAAGGCAACGAUACGUAGCCGACCUGAGAGGGUGAUCGGCCACACUGGAACUGAGACACGGUCCAGACUCCUACGGGAGGCAGCAGUAGGGAAUCUUCCGCAAUGGGCGAAAGCCUGACGGAGCAACGCCGCGUGAGUGAUGAGGGUCUUCGGAUCGUAAAACUCUGUUAUUAGGGAAGAACAAACGUGUAAGUAACUGUGCACGUCUUGACGGUACCUAAUCAGAAAGCCACGGCUAACUACGUG
rnacentral:rRNA from 1 species